GAUGAACGCUAGCGACAGGCUUAACACAUGCAAGUCGAGGGGCAGCGAGGGCGUAGCAAUACGCCUGUCGGCGACCGGCGCACUGGUGAGUAACACGUAUGCGACCUGCCCCCUACAGGGGUAUAACCCGUAGAAAUGCGGACUAAUCCCCCAUAGUCCCGCGGGCUGCAUGGCCUGCGGGGGAAAGGGUUUCCGGUAGGGGAUGGGCAUGCGUCUGAUUAGGUUGUUGGCGGGGUAACGGCCCACCAAGCCUACGAUCAGUAGGGGUUCUGAGAGGAAGGUCCCCCACAUUGGAACUGAGACACGGUCCAAACUCCUACGGGAGGCAGCAGUGAGGAAUAUUGGUCAAUGGACGGAAGUCUGAACCAGCCAAGUAGCGUGCAGGACGACGGCCCUAUGGGUUGUAAACUGCUUUUAUGUGGGAAUAAAGUGAGGGACGUGUCCCUUUUUGUAGGUACCACAUGAAUAAGGACCGGCUAAUUCCGUG
rnacentral:rRNA from 1 species